rnacentral:piRNA from 1 species
UAGGAUUAAAGGCAUGUGCCACCACGCCAGGU